GAGCCAUCCUGCCUUCUCUGGUGCUCCAAGAAGAGGGCACUUGUUUUCAGCAGUAAGAAGGUUUCUCAUUGAGGAAAUCGGAGGUCUGUUAGUUUAAUGUUGGGAAGUCUCCUGUUGUCAGUUAAAAGCUUCUCAGGCAGCUUUUGUAGAAGAAGAACCCAGCUAGUUUCAUGAUCGUGCAGGACUACCUUUGAUGAGUCACCACUAAGUUUUCUAGAUAAUGGAAUUGAAUCCAAAACCAGAGUGAUCAGGCAUACACGGAAUCAUCUGGCACUAAUUUCCUUACCCUGGGGGAUGACAGAAUAUUAUUGUUGCCCUUAACUUGAAAAAUAGAGAAGUCCCAACCCUGCUGUGUAGGAGGCCAGCCAGCCAUCAUCAAAGGAAGCUCCAGCUAUUUAUGCACCCAGAAGAAUCUUCUGUCUAAAGUUUCAUUUGUACAUCUGUUGAUGGUGUGUUUAAAGUCCAUUAGACUGAACAGUGGCCCUACAUGACCAUUGUGUUAAAAUUAACAUGAGUUAGAACUUCAAGGGAAUCUUUGAAGUGGUCACUAAGUGCUUUUAGUGAGUGUUUCAAAGGCACGUUGUACUGUACACCCAUGCUUCUGCGCUUUUAAACAUAUGGAUAUGAAAAGGGCGGAUGUGAAAAAAAAUAUUAAUUUCUUCAAGUCUUGGUUUGGUUUUUAAUAUGUGUGUUUACACUGACCAGUAAAACUUAUGGUCUCCUUUGUGCAGUGACCAAAAAAAAGCCUGUUGGCACAGCAGUCGAAUUUGCCCAAAAGCCCGUUGCAGAGAUGAAACUUGUGCUUAAUCACGAGGGCUGGGCUUUCAUCAGAGGCACUCCAGAGCUUCUGGUGCGGGUAACAGUACUUGUUUUCUGCAUUUUUACCAAAACAGAGCUUCCCAAAGAAGAAGAAGAUGUGGACAUCGAUGCUGUUCUCGGAGGGCAGAAUUUGCCACAUCCUGUGUAUCCCGAGUGUGUGAGUGAUGCCACAGAAAGCAGCUGUCCCUUCUGAGAUGUUUCUGUACCAAACUGUCCAGCCUAUUGGCACUAGAUGAUGGGCAGCUUUUUCAAAGUACAGUCAUUUCCAUAUGUUAUUGAAAAGAAAAUGCAGGCUCUCACUUCUUUCCCAGCAGUAGGGGCUAAUUUUAGAGAGCAUUUACUGGACAUCUUCUGAUAAGGUCACUACCUUGUUUUCCAAUCACUGCUGUGAGCAAAUAAUCAUGAACUCUUAAAGGCCUCUAGUUCCAUUUCCUGUUUUGUAAAGGUCAGGCCUUGAUUUAACAGGUUGACAGAUGCAUGUCCUCCUGCAGUGCUUGCUCACAAUUACCGUUGUUUCCCUUACGCCUUGAGGAUGUUCUUGCCUCGCGGUCGGGGUGAGAGGAUGUCUGUUGGUGCUCACCUGCUGCACGAUAGUUGCACAAUGUUGCUAGCAGGACGUUGCUACAGCCUGCAAAUCCAUCCGGAUGGUCCGUGCUGCAAGGCAGUUACGCGUGGCUUUCAUGUAUGAAAUUUCUGUUGUGCAGGGAGGCACGCUACUUGGACCCUUACAACUGAAAACUGAUUUAGUCUCUCAUUUAUUUGAGCAGGUCUUAAUCUGAACAGCAGAGGGCAGUUUUGCACACAUGUUCUGUGCAAGCUCAUCCUGCAAAAUCCUACUUUUUAGAAUCUUCCUGUCUGGUGAGGUGAUGCAAUGCAGCAUUUUGCCCAGACAAAUUUGGUAUGGUGUACGAGACAGGGUCAGUGGGGCAGCAGUGGCACGUGUUUCUACUGAUACCUGAUUUUGGCUUUUUAAAUCCUGUGUGUUUAGUUUGUUGUGAUGACAUGGUGAGAAGGAUUUCCCUUUUCUUUCUCCCCCCUCCCUCAACACGAACCAGGUAUAUAGAUAAGCCAGCUCUGUUGUGUGACUUACACUCUGCAACAAAAUGCAACAAAAUGUCAUUCCCAGACAUGCAAGAGAGGAGUUUUCCCCUGCCCAGCUGUGAUUUUUCUGGAUAAGCUUUGCUAUCUGGAGUGAGAGGAGAGCACCUGUUAACUGCAGAAGGGGUGGAAGAGAAAUCUGCAUCUUGAAACUCUGCCUGGAGCUGGACUCUGGCUGUGAUGGUCCGUGUGAGGAGGAGAAAGGGCAAGAUAUUAUAGGUUGGUGAUAGGAUGUAGUUUUGUUGUUCGUAGAAUUUCAGCUUAAGGUGGCAAAAUCUGCUCACCCUGUUGUCAUCCCGUGGCUGAUGUGAAGUGAACUGGGGUCUCUCUCAUGCCUUGGAGGCAGCUGUUAGUAUCAUAAUGACACCCUGGCUUAAAACCAAAUUGUAACUACUCCUACACCUCAGAAGUGUUCUUUCCUCUGCUUCCUGAGCUGUGCUUGCAGGGGGAAGGUGUAUGUUUAUGCCAUACAAAUAAAUCGAAGUCUUCAGCCUUUGUAGCUGUUGAUCAGCAAUUUUCCAAACAUUCAACUCAUGAGAAAUUCUUCACAGUCUGCUUAAAACACGGCAAGUAUCUAGAGAAAGAGGGCUGUUUAAUAAAAGAUACUGUCUCUGCAACCCAUGCUGCAAACCAUGCUGCUUCUCUUUCUGUAGGUCAAACUGGAUGUGUUGCACCCUGUAAGAUAGCCUGGAAGAUACAGAAAUUUGCUGUAACAAACCAAUCGUUGCCUGUUUUGGCAUGUGUGUAAAAUAGCAUUUCCUGGAGCUUUGAAACAACCUGAAAUGUGUGUGGCACUCUGAAGAAUCUGUCAAGAUGGAGUUUCUGCUUCUGCAAGCUCACAGCCUGCGGUCCUGAUCCUGUAAUUUACUCUGCACGGUCCUUUCCUCAUGGAAACCUAAGCAGUCAAGAGCAGGACAUUGGGACAAUAACACAGGAAGGGAGAAGGGACAGUGCGGAGCCUGGAGAUACUCUUGGACAUGCUCCUUUGAUGAUACUUAGGCCAACACAUGGGAAGACUGAUGUUGACUGGGGUGAGAAUCUGACCGAGGGAGGGAGCAAGCCCUAGUGCAGCGUGAAGGCUGAGGACCCCCUGCCUGGGGAGGGGGACUGACAUCAGACGUUGAGCUGGACAUGAGAGCAGGACCAAGGCAGAAGACAGACUGAAAGGACCAGGAGAUCCAGGCCGAAUCAAGGAUAAUACCUCCCGCAGAACCUGGGAUUCAGCAGACCCAGGAUUUCUGCCAUGCGGUAGUUGUCUGUUGUCAGCAAAUAUUUGGGGAAGCCGUUGGCACAGGCUCUGACUCAUUCCUGCCUGCUCCCUCAGCAGAGACUGAUGGACUAUUAGUACUCCCAGUUAUUCUGCUUUUCAAGCACGAUGGAAUUAACAUCUGAGAAUAAAAGCCAGUCCUGCCGGUGAGUCAUGCAGUGGCCAGCGUGAUGCCGUGUGAUGGGAUUCCUGCAGUUUUAUUUCAGUUUGCCGUCUGCAAAUCAAGGAAAUGACACAACCCCAACGUAGACUGAAAGUAUGGGAAGUCUGUAAGGUCAAACACCUGGUGAUUAGAAAAUGCUAGAUUUAUCACAGGCAUCAUGAUAGUGUUGCUUUUAGCUGCCAGGAUCAAAUGCAUAUGUAAAUGUAUCUUUUUUUCUCAGGACAGCUCUACCUCUUUUAAUGCCCAGGGCACACGGUUUGCGGCAGGUGAGCGGAGGCUGUGUGGGGAAGGGUCCUCGUCCUGCCUCGUUACAGCUGGGCAUGACAAGAGAAUCCCCACUCUGCCUUCACACCACGGCAGACUCCAGCCCUCGGUGAUGGCAGGGGCAGCCAAUGUCUUUCUCUGCUCUGCAAGACCAAAACAGAUGGAGUCUUCAAAUAAAUCAUCCGCCAAACUCAAACAAGCCCCCACCAGGCACGUGCAGAGUGAAGUGUUGUGUAACUUGUAACUUGUCCACAGGUGGGAAAGCUUAGGACCCUCGUGAAGGCACAUUCAUUCCCCUUCCCCGCCUGAGUAUCGGUGCCAGCCGCUGAAGACGAAGGCACUUAAUCUCUCAAUUUGAACAGAGCAAGCUAACAUAUAUCUUGCUAAUCUUAUUCUAGGAGACAGUCAAAUUAUUUUAGCUAGAAAUUACCAAAGGAGUCUGCCUGAGGCAGACAUCCAGCAUGGAGUAUUUGGGCUCGAGCAGCUGAGCUUUGGCAAAGCUGUGCGUAGCGGAAAGCAGUCAUUAAUGGGAAGUGUUAAGCAACUUUAGCUCCAGACAGCGCUCAGAGGGGCAGAUGAGAAAAUUUGGCUCUGUGGAUGGCCCCACCAGAGAAGACGUAGGUGUAGGCGUGAAAUCCUGCCGCCACGCGUUGGGUUAGCCCAUCGCUACAGGCGAAUCCUGGGCCUGCCUUUGCGGUAUGGCCUUUGCAGGUGCCAGGGGUGGACUUGCUGUUUUGCAGGCUGAGCAGUUACCUUGUGGCUCACUAUUGAACCAAAUGCUGAGGAGAACUGGUAUUUUAGUGAUGGUAAAGCGGGAAGGGAAACUCCCGUGGGACUUCUCUUUCCCCGCAGGAGAGGGCUGCACAGGGGGACGCUGGCCCUGGCCCAUGGCACACGUGGUGCGUGUGGCAGGUCGAUUUGCAGGAAGGUCUCAUCAUGGCGGGUUUGAGCGGUUCUGGGGACUCCCCCCUGCUCAGCUGACAGCCUCAGCGCCAGUGGAGGCUCUGGCAGGGGGCUGAGAGGGCUGCAAGAGUUAGUGGCAGGGCACUGGCAGCUCUUGCUGCCACUCUGCAUAUUCCUUUUCUGCAGGAAGAGGUAUUUUCCUUUCUUGUUACGCUUCAUCUAGAGCUGUGUAAACAGCACUCUCUCCUUGAUGUUGACACCUUCAAAUGAUUUUAUCUCCCUCUGAGGCAUUUAUUUACCCAAACUGUACUAUUUAGUUAUUUAAUCUUCCCUUUAGUUAGUUGAUUGUUGUUCAUUACUGAAUUAUUUCCAAUAUGCCAACAUCUCCUUGGCACACGAGUGCCUGCCGUUGUUUAGAGGAUGGCUCAGUCCCAGCAGCACGCUGCAGAGAGAAGCCAUCAUCCUUCUGCUCCAUUGUCUGAUGCUCUUCACCUCUCUGCAGGUCAAAAUCAGGCCCUCUGAUUUUAUAAACCAACACGUAGUCUGCUACUCACUCUUAUCCCUAUGUUAGAUAUCCCUAUGCAGCAGCUCCUUUUCAGAGCUGCUACAGAUUAUUUUUCCAAAUAUAUUUCCUUGCAUUGCUCAUGUCCCAGGCAGGAGCUGUUAGAUGCUGCUUUUCUUCCCGCUCCCCUGGCUCAGAGACGGUUUUUUUUGAGGUUGAAAUCAUAAUGAGAAACUGAAACUUGUGCACUCUUCUCUUCCUCAUUACUAAAUCCAAAACAAUCCUUAAAAAAAAAAUCCUUAAAAAAAAAGCUUUACAGGUUUGUAAUUCUCCAGCCUGGGAAACAAUUCCUUCCCAUUCACAGCGUCACUAUGUGCUCCCUGGGGACUGGGCAGGCGGACAGGGGCAGUUUGGUUCCAUGGAAAGGAAGAGUCACUAAAAUGGUGAGGAAGGCUCUUCUGGAGAAGGGCGGGCCAGAGCUGCCUCAGCCCAGCCCUCGGUUAUGCUGGGCACUAAUGCAUUCUGCUGAAACUCGAGCAGAGGUUUUAAGACCUGAUUGUUUGGACAGGUAAAAGCUUUGGAAUGAUACAUGCACUUUGUAUAUGCAGGCAAUGCUUCAUCUUUAUAUUCAAAGUGCAUUAGGACAUGAAAGGAGACAAUUUCCACCUAUUCUGCAAAUGACACCUAAGCCCGGCCUGUGAAACAUGCACUACCUGAAGAGCGUUUACUGGGACAGCUAUGCAGACUCCAUUUUUCCUAAGAAACCUUUUUGACUAUUUCUUCCCUGCAGGCAUUAGAAGUGGGUUUUGGACCUAACCUCACAAUCAGGGAAAGGAAAGAGGCAAAGGGCUUUGUCCGGGUGGCUCCCCAGUACCAUUGUGUUAAACUGGCAGUGAACUGGAAGUUUCUCCAAAGCUGUGGAAGCCAAAUGUCCCACCCUGUUUGCCUGUGGCUGCUGGGUUAAUUUUUCUCUUUUUGAGGUCUGAACCCUUCAAAGCUUUGUUUUGUAUGGGUGAAUAAGAACUAGCUACAGCCUAUGGAGAGAGCUGGAAACCAUUUGGUGCAGAAAGAUCACAGGACUCUGAGAAUGAAUGCGGACUUCUUUUUAACUGAAAAUAAUAUAUACAUUUAAAGAGCAGAACAUGCAAAUACGUUCAUAAUGGCCACUAUCAGGAGCUGCUGGCAGUUUCUCUGAGCAGAAAAGUCCUUGUCUUGGAGAUUUCUGCUACCCCUCAGGCUUCUGUCCAUUUCUAUGUUGUUACUUGCAGUGUUUAAGCCCCAUUAAGUUUAAGUGCAUAAAUUUUCUUUGGCUAUUCAACCCCAGCCACUUUUGGGAAGGAAUUGGCCAGAAUCCCUGAACCUAAAAUAAUCAAAUGUCUGUCUUUCCAUUAGAAAGGUUGCCAUUUAUCUGACAAGCAGUGCAAAAUGGAAUAGGUAGCUCAGUACAAGCACUCUCUGAGAAACCUGUUGUUGCAAAACUAGGCAAGUGGCUUGUGCAUAAGCAGAUAAGGUGCCUUUACCAAUACCCAGGUUGUUCCAUGGCAUGUCAGUAUAUUUGCUUUCAUAACAUGUUACUUUUAUUAUCAGCCUCUUGUUUUCUACCACUCUCUUUAGAUAUAUUCCAGCCACAACUUGGAACCUCUACAGGCGCAUCCAAGGAGCAUGGCCUUUCAGAACACUCCUUUCAUGAGUAUUUUUGUGCUUCAGGAGAGGAUGUCUUUGUUUCAGGAUUGUUCUGGGUAUGAGAAAUAAUAAUAAAAAUGGAAAUGGUGGCCAGCACAAAGAACCAACCAAAGUAAUUUUAAUGAAUUUCUUUCCAUACCUGCCAACCCACCCUUCCCUGCAGGAAAAACAACUCUCAGACGAAUAAAGCAUAUGGCACAGAAGAUGGAGCGCUGAUGCCAAGUUUGACUCUGCCUUAGCAGAACUCAUUGUAAAAUGCUGAAUCUGCAGAUCUUCUCCUGGAACAUGCUCUUCUACAGAAAGGGGAAGGCACAUUCCCACCGCCUUUUUAGCUGGGCUUGUGCACUCUCACUGUUUGAAUCCUCAAUGAGUAGGUCAUCAUUGGGCAGACACACAGUGCCACGAUCAAACUAGCUGCUGGGGAUAGCUGUGCAUGUGGCAGCAGCAAAGAACAUCCAUCAAUGAAGUGGGCUAAAUAUUUGAGAAGGAUCUGGAGGACACACUAACCUGCCUUCUGAGUGUAUGUGGGCUAACUAGCUGUGAGGACUGCCGUUUCAGCAAGCCGGCAUGCCUGCUGCCGUGUGGUUAGACAGGCUGUGAAGUUCUUGGCCAUGGUUUGUUAUCCAGUUGGUGUUUAUGUUGCUGGGAAUAUUUGAGGACACGACUGUAUUUGAGCUGUCCAGAAGUGAGGUGUUCAGUGUAAGUCCUUCCAUCAUGACUUGCUCUACAGAGAGCAGAGAGACAGCCACCCCUACAGGUUAUUUAUCCUAAAAUAGAUGUGGAGUGCUGUGAGAGGGUGCCUCUCUCUCUCCACAAGCUCAGAGAAAACCCUCAACACCAGUUCAGCCUGUGGCCAGCCAUUACAGCUCUGUCUGCUCCCAGCUCAGCCCCAUCAAAUGAGGCUCUGGGAGGACACAUUGUCAGUGGGUCCUCUUGUGGCAUGUGGGACCUCAUCAUCAGCCUGUGCAGCUCUCUUCUGAAGCAUGUAGGAUGCUGGAGAAACUUCAAUUUAAGUGCCUCUGAGCAGUACACCUCUCUAUGGUUGGGCGACAGCUGAAGAGGAGGUUUGAGUGUCUAAUUUAGAAGUUAGGCAUCUAAGGCCUUUAUUGGACCUAGCUCUGCAGGGACUGAAACUGAGCAGACAUAUAAAAGGAAGAAAUCCCCUGCUGAGUUACUUUAAUCUUCCAGACAGCUAUGGAAAUGUUUGUGUUGUGUACUCUUACAGACGUGUUUCUUCUAUAGGUGUUCUCAGACCUGAGAGAUGAGGCCAUGGGAGGCCUCGGGGUUGGGCGAGGGGUGCUGCUCUCCCAGGACGUCUUGCAGCACUUUGGCUUGGAGAUGUUUUGUAAGGUGGGUGGUGAAGUCUCCACCUUUGAACCCACGUGUGAGGAAAGCCUCCCACUGUGGGUAGGUGAUACCUCUCUUUCCAGAAAAAUAUACCCGGCAGUGUGAUGAAAUUAAUGGGCCAGGGAGAUGUUUUGUUUAAAUGAAUGCUGGGAGAGGCAGGGGGAGGCUUGGUUUUUCACAUGGUUAAUGUUCCCAAUCCUCUUUUCAGUCCUCUCAUGGCAACCUGUGUACUUUGCAGUUCAAAGUCACAUGAAUCUCUGCUCAGCAGAAAUGUAAAUGUUUUGAUAAAACUGUUCUUAACAAGUUUGAUUCAUUUAAUCAGCUUGAUUAACUGCAGAGCUUUAUGGUCUUUAAUUGGGAAAGCUUUACUAUAAAUUACCAUUUUUUGUAAUUUUGUGAAGAACGUGGUGGUGCGUGGGAUCCUGCUGCCUUUGUGGCAGUGUGGGAGGUGCCUGUCUCUGGCACCUGGACGUUCCCCUGCAGCUUCACAUGGUCCAGAGCCCCUUAGACCUUUGGGUGCUGAGCCUUCCCAUGAGGCCAGGCAGAUGCUGGGCAAGAGGCAGGUUGGAAAUUCAACUGGAAGCGUCUCAAUAAACCCUAUUUCUUUUCCCUUGUGUUUUCAUCUCCUAGAUGAUUAAUCUCCCCUUCCAGUAAAAAUGCAGCAUGCCUCUUCUUCUGACAAGUCCCACAAGAAAGGAAACACGGUCACCCACAACAGCCCUUGUUUUGGUUCAUAACCAGCCUCAGCCUGCACUGGGUUUUCAAAGGCUAGCUGAACAAAAUUCCCAAGUUUACCAGUAGAAAGAUGAAAAAAGGGAUGAUCAGAAAAUCUCAGCUUGGGUACACGUCACAACUGGUCUUUCCUCUCUUCCACGUAAUGUGGUGGACUGACAAGCUGUAAAAUACGUCCAGCUGGAAAGAAGACCAUUUUGUUUCACUCUGCUCAGCCUCAUUUUUCAGAGCUGAAUGUCCAGUCCUAUAGGUGUGUGAAACCUCCAAGGCCCUGGAGGCUUCAUGCAGCAAUGUUUGGGGUUUUUUUUUUAAUAAGCAGUUUAUUGUCCACAUUACAUUUUUCUGUGCCUUUUGGUCAAUAUCCCAGACUAGAGAAGCCAAGGAGAGGUUGAAAACAAAUGAACUCUCCCCUUCAAUUUAGAGUCUGCCCAAAGCACCAGAGCAACCGGAGCAUCGACACGGUCCCUGCACCAGUGGGCUUGCUCUUUGCUGGGCGAGCACGGCUCUCCCGUUGCAGCGCCGCGCUGCAGAGCCCCUGCUCGCUGGAUUUUGGGGGUUUGUGUCAUCAAAACGCACAGGCUGAGCAACGUGGUUCCACAGCUCCCUUCCCACAGCUUUGUGCUUCUACUCCCGCCUGACUCUGAAGUGGAAUAGCCCCUGAGAAAACGGCGUAUUUCAUAAGAAAGGAAUGUUUUUCAUCCUUUCCCAGCACUUCCACGGUCCUGCUGCAUGUACUGCUCUCACAGGCCAGCGUGAUGCAGGAGGAGACAUUUCUAACAACAAACAACUCGGUUCCUCUUUCACAUUUGACAUUUCUACACAUUACAAAAAGCUCUCGGACAUUCACCAAAAGUUAGGAUUUGGUGCUUUUUUUUUUGCUUUUUUUUUCCUUUUUUUUUUCUUUUCCACAGAUUAAACAUUUUCACAUCAUAUCCUGUGUGAGCAGUUGUUUAAAUGGAUGCCCUGCCAAGGAAGACACUUGGGUUUAAGUGGCUGAUCCAACAGCUUUUAAUGAAAGGUUAUGACUUUGCAAGGCCAAAAUGUUCUUUAUCUGGCUUUGGCUUUUGAAAGAAAGACUGCAAAUGUUUUUGGAUUGGAUGUGAAAUGUUGUGUACAUUCUGUAAUACCAAGGUGGAAAAUCUGUCCUUUACUUAUUAAUAGACUAAAUAGAAAACAGGAUGAGAUUAAAGCCUAACUGGUUUUAUACACUAUGAAUUCAUCAGUUUCACAUCCCCAGCAAGGGGAAAAUUUAAAAACAGAAUAAAUGUGUAAAAAUAAAUUAAAUAU